UUUGACAUGUACGGAACCCUCCAGAGAUGGAGGGGUGCUCGAAAGAGAGCCGUAACACAGGUGCUGCAUGGCUGUCGUCAGCUCGUGUCGUGAGAUGUUGGGUUAAGUCCCGCAACGAGCGCAACCCUUGUCAUUAGUUGCUACAUUCAGUUGGGCACUCUAAUGAGACUGCCGGUGACAAACCGGAGGAAGGUGGGGAUGACGUCAAGUCCUCAUGGCCCUUAUAGGUGG
rnacentral:rRNA from 1 species